rnacentral:rRNA from 1 species
CCCUUAGAUGCCCUGGGCCGCACGCGCGCUACACUGAGUGUCUGAGAUACGAGUCUGCCUGGUCCGGCAAGGUCUAGGUAAUCGCUAAAAGACACAUCAUGCUUGGGAUAGAUUAUUGCAAAUAUUAAUCUUGAACGAGGAAUUCCCAGUAAGCGCAAGUCAACAGCUUGCGUUGAUUACGUCCCUGCCCUUUGUACACACCGCCCGUCGCUACUACUGAUUGGAUGUUUAAGCGAGGUUCUCGAACUGCUAGCGACUUAGCUUCGGUGAGGUCGCAGUGUGGGAAGUGAACCUAGCUUUGGUGUCUAGAGGAAGUAAAAGUCGUAACA